rnacentral:rRNA from 1 species
UACGUAGGCAGCGAGCGUUGUUCGGAGUUACUGGGCGUAAAGCGUGCGUAGGCGGUGUCUUAAGUUUGUUGUGAAAUCUCCCGGCUUAACCGGGAGGGUGCGGCGAAUACUGAGAUGCUGGAGUGCGGGAGAGGUAAGCGGAAUUCCUGGUGUAGCGGUGAAAUGCGUAGAUAUCAGGAGGAACACCGAUGGCGAAGGCAGCCCCCUGGGCCAACACUGACGCUCAGGCACGAAAGCGUGGGGAGCAAACAGG